AUUGAACGCUGGCGGCAUGCCUUACACAUGCAAGUCGAACGGCAGCACGGGAGCAAUCCUGGUGGCGAGUGGCGAACGGGUGAGUAAUAUAUCGGAACGUGCCCAGUCGUGGGGAUAACGUAGCGAAAGCUACGCUAAUACCGCAUACGAUCUAUGGAUGAAAGCGGGGGAUCGCAAGACCUCGCGCGAUUGGAGCGGCCGAUAUCAGAUUAGGUAGUUGGUGAGGUAAAGGCUCACCAAGCCGACGAUCUGUAGCUGGUCUGAGAGGACGACCAGCCACACUGGGACUGAGACACGGCCCAGACUCCUACGGGAGGCAGCAGUGGGGAAUUUUGGACAAUGGGCGCAAGGCCCUGAUCCAGCAAUGCCGCGUGCAGGAUGAAGGCCUUC
rnacentral:rRNA from 1 species